UACAGAGGGUGCAAGCGUUGUUCGGAAUUACUGGGCGUAAAGCGCGUGUAGGCGGCGGCGUAAGUCGGGUGUGAAAUCCCUCAGCUCAACUGAGGAAGUGCACUCGAUACUGUGUCGCUUGAAUGUCGGAGGGGAUGGCGGAAUUCCCGGUGUAGAGGUGAAAUUCGUAGAUAUCGGGAGGAACACCUGUGGCGAAGGCGGCCAUCUGGACGACGAUUGACGCUGAGACGCGAAAGCGUGGGGAGCAAACAGG
rnacentral:rRNA from 1 species